AAGGUCUGAAAAGGAGCCACGUUGAUUGGCCACCUCCCGCUGUCAUCACUCCGCAUGGUCCCGCCCCCCCCCGCUCUCCCUCUCCGGCAGCAGCAGGCGUAUAUAAACACGCUGAUCCAUCUUCCUCCAGCUUACCCAGUAACAUCAUGAUAAGCAUUACGUGGAGCACAGAUGGGAGGGCGCACGCGCUCAGAUUGUGGCUGAUUUCAAUAGAAAGCUGAAGAGUGAAAGAGACACAGCCUUGACUACUCAUCCAGCACGCGUAACAUCAUGUCGGCUUCACCUGUUGUUCCUGUCGACACACGUGAAUGAAGCCAUGGACGUGGCGCUCUAGAGGAUGGAAGUGUUGUCGUUGCUGAGUGGAAGACUAGUGAUUUUGUUGUGACGCUGAUCAAAGAACAACAAGUCCCAGUCUGCCUCUCAGCACAAGCAGAGCUCUUCACUCUACGUCUGCUUUCACCUGCACAAAUCAGAAUGUGUUCCCAUUUCCGUCAUGUCUUUGUGAUUGAGUUUUUUCUCCUGUUUAUACAGCUGCAAGAGAACAAAAAAUGCCCUUAAAACACACUGAUUCAUCUGCCGCUGCAGGAAGAAGUGUGACUGGGUACAGCCUUCAUGUUCAACAAUUUCAAAUCAAAUCAAAAGCAUCUUUAAUCACACACAAUGAAAACUGCCUUGUACAACAGCUCACGUUUUGCAAAUAAAGUCACAGACAGUCACUAUGUAUGUUUUUCUAGUCUGCAGUUCGUAACCUUACUUUUGACCACUUGUGCUUUAAAGUUGUAAUUGUUUUGAAUGGCUGAAUAGAAAUGGACUGUAAACCUCUUGCAUGUA